GUAUUCUACGGAUAAAAAAUCAGUUCCUAAAAAUAUGGAAACAAAAUAUUUGAGAAUAUUCACUCUCAUAUUUUUUUAAUUGUUUUUUUUAUAAAAAAAAAAUCAAAAAACAAAAAAAUUAUAACUUUAAGGGCAUUAUUGCCAUUUUAAAAAUAAUUAGCCUAAUAAGACAUAAAGUAUAUGAAAUUAGUUUAAAAAAACAUAGUUAUCAUUUUUUUGCUCUAAAAAAACAAUUUUCCCUUUUUUUUUUUGGCACUCACCCAUAAUACAAUACUUUUAAGAAACUUUAUUUGUGCACAGUCAUACAAAACUAGUACUUCUUCCACUGGCCUUUUUUAUUUUUUUUGGCACUCACCCAUAAUACAAUACUUUUAAGAAACUUUUAUUUGUGCACAGUCAUACAAAAUUUCGCAUGGUAAUUUCCACCUAAUGAAUCCCCUUUAUUCCAGGUUUGAUUCCUCCUUAAUUCUUUUGAUAUUAAUUUUUGAAAUAAUAUUUUAAACUCAGUUAAAAUCAAUGUAUGAUAGACAAACUUAAUAUGGAAAAUUAGAAACUUCUUACACUGACAAGAACGCAGUCAUGAAGCAUGUACCAUAAUAUAGACCAAAAAUAUUAAGUUUAAAAUGUAUAAAACAAUAAAAACGGUCAUGAAAUUUUGGAGGCUAACAUAUGAUAUCUUGAUUAUUUACAUUGUUUUCACUAUUCAUUCUUGUACAUUUUGAUCAUUUAAGAUAACAUUUAGACAUAUCUAGAUUGCUUUUCAUUGCAUACGUCUUUAUCUGGUGAUGAAGAUGUCACAUUGUGACUUUGGAGCACUUGGAGAUAGUUUGGAGGAGUUAUUGGUGAUUUUCAAGAAGAAGACGAGAGGACAAGUGACCCAGCGGCCUCGUGACCUCGCAGCGGCCUUGUAACCUCGACAUGAAGCCGCUGCAACCAAUUCGAGAGUGAAAACCAUGAAGUACAGGAGCGGCCUUGCGCAGCGGUGCGUAGAAGCCGCUGAGAAAAUGCACACGCCCCUGCCCGAUUUCAAGAUGUCGCAGUGGUGACGUGAAGCCGCUGCUGUGUUCCACAGCGGUAUGUCGGAGCCCGCAGCGGCAUGACGAGGACGCAAGAAGGCCGCUGUGACUGUCCAAAAAGUCAACAUUCGAGGAUUGACCAGAUUUUUACACAUUUGUGUUUGGGUCAGCCCAGGUUUGUUAGGUUGACCCAGUUCGAUUUUAAACCACUAUAAACACUUUUUAGAUCUAAUCUUAGGGACUAUCUUGUUUUCUAUCCAAACACAAAACCUAUUUUGGUGAAAUAUUCAAUCUUUAGCUUCUUUUCAUCUUGAUAUCUUGUGUUUGCUUGAUUAUUUUGAUCACUAAUCAUGAUUAACCUUCAAUCAUCAUUGAUUAUUGGGUUCAUCAUGUCUAUUAGUGAGUAGUUACCCUUUGGAUUCAUGGGUUAGGAUGAUUAAAGUGAUUAAGUGAAGAUAGUUAGAUUAAUCUAUUUUCUUGCUUGUUGAGUGAUCUUAAUGCUAGUUUAGUAUUGGCCUCUCUAAACUAGAACUCUAGACAUUUCACACCUGUAAAGGUUUUUGAUCAAAUGUCUGAGCCAACUCAACCUUGCUCUUUGCUUGCUUAACCAAAGACAUUUGAUGUUAGGAAAGCUUUAGAUAGUUAAUGGACAUGUUCUUAAUGAUUGCUUGAAUGACACAAACCAAAGACAUUUUAUGUUUGAUCAAUGAGAGUAAAUGAGCAUUUAUCUUGACAAAUAACUUGUUUAGGAUUGUAGUCUAGACUUAAGGAAAUAUGUUGAUUGAUACGUUGCCAUUCUAGAUUGGAUCUUAGUCAUUUGAAGUUAAAUUCGUAGACCCAUGAUUCCUCCUUUAUCCUAUUGCUUGAAAGUUUGUUAAUUUAUUGUCUUAGAGUCUUGCUAGUUAAACCAUAUCACGUCAUUACACUGAGUGUACUUAGAUUAAGUAUGAACAUGUAUUCUCUUUGGAUUGAAAUCACUUAGAAUUGGAUUAACUAUUAAAUACUAUAUUGAUUUGACUUAGGAUUAGAGAUUAAUCCUUAUCAACAUAAAACAAAAAAGAAUAUUCUAAAUAUUAUAUCAUUUCACAUAGCCUUUUUGGUUAAGCAACUUUGGAGAUUGGAAUAAAACCCAAAUUUCCUACUUACAAAAGUACUCAAAGGAGGUUACUUUCGGGUUUGCACAUUUUCAACGCGCCAAAGGUCUUAAGACCUUCCUACGGUUGGAGAAGUAUUAUGGCAUCAAAGGAGCUAGUCACUAAAGGACUGAGACGUACGAUCGGAACAGAGAACAUACACUUGUGUGGAAAGACCCGUGGAUCCCAGACAAGAAGGCAUGACCGCCUAUCAUGCCACAAGUCUAUUACCCUGACUUAAGAGUCUCUGAUCUCAUUGACCCAGUGAAAAAGGAUUGGGAUAAUAAUAAACUCAAGAGCCUCCUUGAUCCGCACAAGAUUCCAUUAGUGCGCAGGUUACACAUUAGUAGGAAUUCUAUCACAGACGGUUACUGUUGGAAUUUUCCAAUAUUGACUUAACUCAGGAUAUAUUAUUACAAGAGCUAAAAAAAUAGUGAAUUUGAUUUUCAAAAUCAGCUACCAUCCCUUAAUCCUCUGAUAGAAAAAAAAAUCUGAAAACUUAAAACAUGGAAGAAAUUUUGCCACUUCUUAUGGCAAUGUGUGUCUGGAGCAAUAGUUGUUAAUGAAAGACUAUUCAAGAGACACAUUGGAGAUGACCCGAGCUGCCCAAGAUGUAGAUAUGAUGAGGAAUCAAUUAACCACAUGAUCUUGACCUGCCCUCCCGCAAUGCUAUGUUCGCCCUAUCGUUGAUCCCCUCUGAUCCAAGAAUUUUUCCUUCACAAAACCUUUAUACUAAUAUGGACUACCUACUCUCUAGAACCCAUACUGGAGGAGAUAUUGAGAAAGAAACCCGAGUUUUUCGUGAAUUACGGCAUUUAUUCGAGUGAUCCAUAAAUCUCCAAGAUCUUACCUUUUUUUCAAAAAAAAGCCUUAUAUGGUAUAUUUGGAAAGUCAAGAAUGAGAAAUUGUUCAAUGCACAUGAUUUUUCACCUAUGGACACAACAAAAUUGGCAUCACGGGAAUGUAGUGCUUGGCUCAUGCCAACCAAGAAAAGGAUCCAAGAGAAAUGUAGUGCUCCUAUGGACACAACAAAAUUGGCAUCACGGAAAUGUAGUGCUUGGCUCAUUGCCAACCAAGAAGAGGAUCCAAGAGAAACCGUCUCAAAUUUUUACCGGGUAACCACUUAAAGACCCCAACUUUCACAUGCCGCGUGGAUGGCUCAUGGAAACAUGAUGAUGCCACAAGCGAAGUGGGAUGGAUUCUACAUCUACAAGAUGGCUCAAUAGAUUUACUUAGUUUAGAAGUUGGGCAUAAGGAAAUUUUCCCACUACAUAUUGAACUUAAAAGUUUGACAUGGGCUUUAAAAUGUUUAUCUCACCAUCAGCUCUAUUGCAACCACUUUGUCACUGAUUCCCAAUAAUUAGUCAAAAUGAUCGAGACGCCCAAGGAUUGGCCAGCCUUCGUAUCUGAACUUAGCGAACUCAAAACUCUAUGGGAGAUCUACAAUGAUGCCAAAGUGGUCUACGAGGUCAGAUCCAGUAACACUCAUCAAGCGUAUUUCCUUACAAGACAAGCACGAACAAGGAAACAUGUUUUCUCGUAUGUCAGUAUGUCUGUUCCCUACUGGAUGGAUACUACAAAUUUGCCUUUUGCGAAUUUUUUUCUAAGUAUCAUAAAAGCCACAGUUUAUAGUAGGGGAGUUUGAACACAAAAUUUUGUCCCCAACUAUGGCUAUAGUAGACAUCAUUGAAAUGCAUAUAAAAUCUUCAAAAAAAUAUUCUUCAUCGAUAGUAAUGCAUACUCCACCUUAAUCACCAUUACUUGGGAAUAAUCUUCAAAUUCCCUUCAUCCUUUCACAUCAGAUUUAUGUAUUUAUAUGUGGACCACCACUUGCAAAAUUUUCAUCCACUACAAGAAAACAUCUAAAAAUUGGCGGAAAAAGUUGUUAAUUUUUCGUAGAAAAUAGUUAUUUUUUACGAAAGCACCGAUAAUAUUGUCUGUCAGGUUUAUUUAGUCGUAAAAUUAUCAUUGAUAAUUUAUCAGAAAUUCCCAUUGAAAAUAAAGGAAAUUAGUUCUUCAAUUUUUUUAAACAAAAUUUGUAUGAAAAUUUUCUGACAAAACAUUCCAACGGUUUUUCGACAAUUUUAUGUCAGAUUUACAACAAAUGUUUUUGAAAAAUUUCAAGAAAAUUUUUAAUAGUUAAAUAUUUAUCUUAUAUUUAUUUUAUUUAUCAUGGUUCAUGAUGAAGUGUCUAAUUGCAACUUCACCCUCAUGAAUUUCAGUAAUCUAGUGAUACUCAUCAUAUAUUUAUUUAUCCCUUAAAACUAGGUUGCAAGUGUGAAGAAUACAUGGUGUCCAACAGAUGCAAGGAAAUCUACCAUAAGGUAAGGUCUCAAAUCACUUACAAUUGGGUACGUUAUCAUUGAUUACUUGUACAAUAAUUUUCUCAUACAGUUGAUGAAUAACUCCAUUGAUCAAUUUAGCAAUGAAUAAUUUAUCUUUCACUUAACUGAAACAAUUUUCAUCUUUAAGAAAUAUAGGGUCGCUUCCAAAAGUAGCUAUGAAAUUAAUCAUAUUUUUUUCUAGGAUCAAUCGAACCAUCACUCACAAUCGUCACCAUUUAUUCUUUUCUGUCAAUUUAAGUGCCACUAUUUUUUGACAUUGUUUUUUUUUUCUUGCUGCAAUAAAGUAGUCUUUAGCUUAUUAUAAUUUAUAGGUGCAUAACCACCAAUUUUGAUUGGUAGAAACUUAUGGGAUUUGUAACUUGCAAGAUUGUACAAUUCGGUUUUUGUAAAAACAUCUUUACAAUUUCUUGAUUCAAUUGAUCUCUAAGUUAAAUAUCAAUUCUUGUAACGAUGAGUCAAAACGCAAGAUUUUCUUUUCUUAGAAACUGAUUCAUAGGCAAAAAGAGUCUCUCUAUGUGUGGACUCAAAUUUCUUCAUCUCAAAUUCAUUGGUUGACUUUUGCAUUUCAAGCUUUAUAGUCAUUGUUGCCUUUCUACCAAGAGGUGUUUCCAGUUCAGUCAAAAGAAAUGAAUUUUUAUUCUCGAAUAUGAUCCUUGUUGAAUCUCAUUAUAAAGUUGCACUUAAAUUUUCAAGUUCCACUUAAUGAUCUUAGUUUAUGCAAUUUAUAACUCUAUAGUGGAGGUUCUUAUAUUUCACUUGAUGAAUUGGUAGAUCCAUUUCCAGAGCUGCUACCUAUACAAACACUUCCACUCUGAAAAUUCAUGUUUUCUUAAUAUUUAUGAUAUCAUAGAAAUUUAAAAACCGAAGAAAAAAUAAAGAGUGCAAAUAGAUAGAACAAUUGUUAAGCUUUGAGAACCACCAACAUUAAAACAUAAAAUUAAAUAAAUAUGUAUAACAAAUGAUAUCAAUAUCAUGCUUAAAUAUAUUUUUGCUAAUUAUAACUUAUAUGGUAUUAUGCAUGUGUAUUAACUCUGCUGCAAAGAAAAGAAAGCAAAAACAAAAAAAAAACAAAAGUUUCACUUAAGAUUAAAAUAGGCAAGAAAAAAGUUGUUACAAGUUGAUAUAUCAGUUAUCUAAUCUAAUAUACAUAUUUUUGGUCCUUCGAGCAUUCUGUCAACCCCUAGUUUCUAACAAACACUACUCUUAUUUGAAAAUUAAAGUUUUACCAUCAUUUUUAACUUCGUUAAAAAAUUAUCUAGAGAACUUGCUCAUCCAUGAGAUAUGGCCACCAAAGUCCACAACUCUUACCCUUCUUCAUGGUUCUCCUCCAACUGAUUUCAGCCGAAGUAUUUCCUACUAUCUGCUCUAUUGCAACGUCAAAGAUGAAUAUACCCUUCUAUCGAAAUUGAUUUGGAAACUAAUAACCUUAAUCGUACUUUUUAACACUUCUACUCAUUUUCUUAACAGAACACCUAAAGAAUGCAUGACUACCACGGGUUAUAUGCAUGUGUCAAGUAAGUUAUAUGUUUUCAUUUCAUUUGUCGAUUAAACCUUGAAUAACCAAGAAAUUAAAUGACGCACAUGUUCUUUAUCUUGCAUUCUCCUGACAAGGAAAACACAUAGUACAUCUGAUGAAAAUCAGACAACGGCUUUGAGCGUUACAAGACACUUCUCAAAUGAAUUUCCAUGUAAACACUUCGUCAACAUAUCCGCUGGAUUUAUAGUAGUAUGGAUCUUUUGGAUUUUGACUUGACCUUCAUCAACAAGGUCAACAAACCAAAUGAAUCUUAGUUGCCAUAUGUUAAUUUUGGUCAUUAUGAACCAAGUUCUUAGCUAGUAAAAACAGCACUAUGUGAAUCAUUGUGAAACCUGUAAACUUCGAGUUAAAACUCAAUUUACUCUAAUGUUAACAUCAAUCUUCGUACUAGUUUCUCCAUCCAAACAAACCAGCAACUUACAUUAACCUAAUAGUGUCCAUGUUUUCUAUAUUAUCUGUCGGAGUCUUCAACCCUUAGCAUAUCAUUUUCGCCAGCCAACAUUUAAAUACAUUCAAGCAAUUUAUAAAAUGUUAUGAUACCAACUAGUAUUUAAUACCAAAAUGUAAUAUUUGUACUCACUUGUAUCAAUUUUGUUGGCAAAAACUAGCUUAUUAGAUUUAUGACUUGAAAGAUUGCAUGACUCACAUAUUGUAAAAACUUUCUUGCAAUUUCUUGAUUCAAUUGAUCUCUAACUUGAUUCAGCUUAGGUUUUUUCAUCUCAACUUUGUUGUUCAACUUUUGCAAUUAAAGCUUUGCAGUCAUUGUUGCCUUUCUACAAUGAGAUGUUUCAUACCUUUUAUUCCAAAUAAAUGUGUUUAAUUUUGGAAUAUGAUGCUUAUUGAAUCUCAUUACAAAAACUACACUUAAAUUUUGAAGUUCUUCUUUUUGGUCAUAGUUUCUGCAAUUUAUUUACAUAAUUUCUUUGUGGAGAUUCUUAAGUUUCACUUGAUGAAUUGAUACAUCCAUGACCAAAACUACUACCAAUACUAUAGUUUCACUCUAGAAUUCAUUUUUUAAACUUUAAGAUAUCAUUACAAUUUUGAAAAACUGAAGAAUAAAUAAAGAGUGAAAGUCGAUAAAACAACUGAUUAGAUUUGGAGUCUUUCAAUACAAUAGUAAUCCUUGAUGCUUAAAGGGAUUACAUGGCCAUGAAUGCAUAAUAUUCUUUGAAUGAGGAAAAUUCAAUGAAUGAGGGAGAACCAGAAAUGUAAAAACCAGAACAAAGUGACACACAAGCAGCUUAAACAACUCAAGCGACACAACCACUUGCCACUGAGUCGGCAUUUAGCAUUGGAGGUAGAGCUGUGACUCCAUACCGAAACUGGCUUCUUCCAUAAAAUGUUCAAGCUUUGCUUUGCGCUCGUAAUUGGCUUUGAGAAUUUCCAAAAUUUGAAGGUAGUUUUAAAAAUUUACAAAGAUACUGAUGACAUUGGCAUUGAAGAAGUUAGGAAAACACCAAGUAGCUCAAGAGUAGAAAAUUCAAGAUCAGGAGAUUCAAACAUGCAGUGAAAAUGAGUAUGAGCGUCGCAGUGAGAAUGAGUAUGAGCGUCACAGUGAAAAUGCAACUUUGAUUGUUAAUUAUUUGUUUAUUUGAAGUGAGUUUGAUUGAGAUUAGUUUGUGUUGGCCUUGACUGUUACAAGUAAAUGGUAGAGUGAAAGGGCUAAAGUAAUUACAUAGGAGAAUAGUAGUUACUUGGUUCUUUAAGUGAGUUGGAUUGAGAUUUGUUUGUGUUUGUGGCCUUAACUUUUAGUAGAAAAUGAGAAUUUAUGAUGUGUUCAUAAUUGUCAGUAUUACAAUGGUGUAAUGUAUCACAUUUAGCUCUUCGUGUGUUCAAUCCCUUUCUUUUCUUUGCAGAGCAAUGUAGAUGGAGAAGGGGUCGUUGGUUUGAGAUUAGGAGAAGAUGAUGAAGUUGGUUUCUAUCUUGUUUCUCUAUGAUUUGUAGUUUUGUUAUUUCAGACAAAAACCUGAUGGCAAAAUUGUUUUGUUGUCUUUCAAUUUAUGAGUUUCAGAUAUUAUGUAAUUUUAGAUUAUAAAUAUGUUUUGGAUACACAAACCCGGUUCAUUAUAUACUGAGCAACUGAAAUAAUUAAAAUUGCAUUUAAAAGCAGAACUAACGUACAUGUUGAAAUAUGAGACCUUCAUUUAGAUAAAAGUCAUAAACGGGCCUAACAGACCUAAACGGGUAUUACAAAAAUAAACGGAUUGGACAUCAAAAGGGUUUAAAGAGGUAAAUGUAUAAACGAGUUUGAAAUUAAACGGGCUUAAACUGGCAGGACUUAAACGGGCCCAUAUGGCCCAUAUUAACAUCCCUAAAUAGAAGACUUGAAAAUUGAGCAUCAAAUGAGCAUUGGAGAAAUCCAUUAAAAAAACAUGUAGUCAAAAUUUCAAAGUAGAAUUUCUUAUGAACCAAAAUAAUGGAGAUUAAGCUAAACUUGUUAUACGUUCUAGCUGGGCUGUAUGAGGAGUGGAGAUGUAAGGUUAGCCAAAUUUAUAGUCGCGGCUGCAUUUGCAUCUAAACGAUCACAACUUGUUUUGUAUUUAUCACAUUGCAUUGUAUCAAACCUUGUUUAUCCUUGGUGAUCCAAAAGCUUUUAUCAUCUUUUGUAAUGAUCGCAACGCUCUUAUGCAGAUUCGAAAUAAGAUCAAGUUUUUCUAAACUCACUUAUUGUCUUUACAUAUUUUCCGCAUUUAUUUGGUCAUUUUCCGUCGGCUCUCGAAGAGAAUCUGGGAUCUCUGGGAAAGUUAGGGUUUCUUGACUUUUCUUAUUUUAACGGAAAUCGACAAUGCAAAUUUUGGUUCCCACAGUUUGGCGCUAGAAGGAGGGGGGGGGGGGGGGUACAGAUAACUCUACCUCAUAGCUGCAAAACGCUUGAUCAAAACGAUGUCUGGAAAUACAAAAGACAAAAUCGCACUUCGCAACAAUUCUGGUAAAACAACUACAGCAGCCACUGCGCCUAUGGGCAACGCUUACGCAAACGCCACAGUUCUUGAGAAAAUCGAAAACCUAGUCGCGACUUUUCGCCACAGGAAGAGCAACGAAAAAGCUCGCGAUUUCUCUGUCAAAACAUAAAGAAAAACGAUAAAUUUUAUCAAACCCCGUAAGAUUUGGCUCAUUACCGAGUUAAAGAAGUCUCAACACGUAAGGAUUUUACCAAAAGACAUUUUCCAAAAACUUUUCGAAAAAAUAAAACUUGCUCUCCCCAAAACCGCAGAAAAAUCUUAGGUUAAUCGCAGAAAAAGGAAGCAUAGGAAAUCGGGUAUAUAACUCAUUGCUGUACUUCUUCCGAAUAUUUUACGGAAAAACCCUAGGUUAAUCGUGGAAAAAGGAAGCGCAACAAAUCGGUUACGACUUCCCCACGGUUGUACUUCUUCCAAAUAACUUUCGGAGAAACGAAGUUGAUUUCCAUAGAAUCACUCGAAACCUAAAACGGCUGACGAAGACUAAAUAAAGUAAAACGGGAGAUUGUAUCCCCACCGCUAAAACGUUUUCUGAAACCUAAGAUUCCGUAAAAAUUCAAGUAUCACUUCUAUAGUAAAAAAUUCCACGAGUUGUCGAUGUUUGUAACAUAUAUCUUACUUCGGAAAAAAAACUACUCGAAACUUCCACGGAUCUAUCCCACGGAUAAGAGAAAAACUUAUGAUUAAGUUUGGUUGCAAUGAUAAACCUCUUCACGGCUCUCGUACAGCAAAAACUUGAAAUUUCUUACCAAACAAAUCUCGUAAAAAUUAUGCUCGACAACAUCUUGCGAAAUAACCUUUGCAAAAAUUAAGCUCGACAAUUUUACGAAACAAUUUUUGUAAAAUUAAAAUCAAUUACAUUUUCAGAAUAAAUUUCAGAAUUAAACUCGAUAUUAUUUUUCGGAAAAACUUUUGUAAAAUUAAAGUUGGCAACAUUUGACGAAGCAGCUUUCGUACAAUUAAACUCAACAUUAUUUUACGAGACAUUAUUCGUAGAGUUAAACAUGGUUGUAUUUUAUGAUACAAUUUUCGUAGAAUAAGUUUGACAACGUUUACGAAACGACUCUCGUAAAUAAAACUCAAAACUAUUCGACAACCUUCGGAAAUCUAACAACGAUUGUAGAAAAAGACUCUCGGAUAGGGAAAGAGAUGGAGGAAAUCCGAAAAUCAAAAUUCGCCCAUCUGCCUCUCUCCACGGGCUCGCCAUCGUUCCUCUCUUGCCUUAAUCUAUCGCCAAAACCUCAUCUCCCGGCGAGUCUUCCUGAUCAUCCUCGGCAUCUGUUGAUCGUCCCUGGCUAUUCAUACACGCUAAAAAGGUUUUGACGAGAGGCUUAUUAUUUUUCGUAAAUCCAAUUAUACUAAGACUGAAACAAGGAUCACGAAAACCGCAAGACUGGCAUCAGCCUUAACGCGGCCAGGAAAGCAGAGAAAUCCAGGAAGAAUCAAUAGUCUUGCUAUUCGAAAUGGCCAGACAGACACGAAAAGAGUAAGGGCAAAUGAGCAAGCAAAACGGAGAAGAGGCAAAGCCGAAUCAUAAAAACUAGGUGGACAGUCAAGCGAACUAAGUCUUAGGCGAUUUUUUCUGUCACGAUAUAUUGUUGCAUAACUGUUCAACCAGAUCUUGCAAACCUAUCUAAACUCUCUGAAAAUCGAGAAACAAUCGCCACACAUAUCCAGCUCGCUUCCUAAAGAUAGAAAGAACUAGAGACAUGAACGUCGUCUUAAAACCGAUUCGUAUCUACCGAUUUUCUUAAAACCGACAUAUUCCAAGUCGUCAACCUGAAAAUAACCAAAUCACAGUCCCAGCGUCAUCUUUAAAUCGACCAGAUUGUUGAUCAUUCCAAUCCUCGGAAGAAGAAACGUACACAACCCUUCAAAGUAUCGGUUCUACCGUUUUCUUUCGUAAAAUACAGGGGGAGAGUAGGUAUGUAUACUAUACUCAUGAGAACGUCUUUAAAAACUAUACUCAAUUAUCGGUUCAACCGUCUUCAAAAACUUUUGCCUCGUCAUCAAGAAAACGCAUUCGUCAAAGGAAACUCUCGCACCAAUAGGCAAUACAAUGUCUCACAAAAAUCGUCCCAAAAAAGCAAAGGACAAUCUGAAAUUCGUCUAAACGCUAGCAACAUAUCCAGACGAUCAUGAACAUAAUCUCAAAGACUAUACAACAUUUCUCAUCGCAAUCAUACAUAUCGAAAAACUUUUACUAAUGUCAAACUGAAAAUCGACGAUUAGCCAAAGUCUUGAAGCCUUUUUCGGCUUUAUAAAGCCAAUUUCAGCUUUAUAAAGCCAAUUUCGUAUGAAAAAUUUUACGAGAAAUCUUCAAGCAUCAAAGCAUUUCUUUCAGUUUCCAUUGAGAAAAGUGAGUCAUGGAAAAGCAUCAAAAACAUUUGCAACGAAGAAAACUCGAGAAUAAAAGUAGCAGCAAGCACAUUAAAGGGAAUACUUUCUUCCUGAUCGUUGGCUAGAUCUACCGCUGGUUGACCAAUUCGUUUCAGAAACGAAUAUGUCAUGAGUAUCCUCUCAAAUGGCUAUCAAAAACGUUCUGCGACUAGAUCGUGGCGAAAUAAACUUUGGUAACACUCCGUGAGUAACUCCAAGCAACUUUCACCAAAGAUCGAAAUGAAAGCAGAAACGCUUCUCGUAAAUCCCGCAGAAACAACGCUACUUUGACAUAUGCAUACAUAUCACCGAUUUACAACCUUCGUAAAACCGGUCGCCCAUUACUUACGCGAAAAAUCCUUCGUACAAUCAGAUCAAGUCAUACGAAAAAAACUUUCAAAAGUAAACGUAACAGGUCUUACGAAGAAGUAUUUUUUGUAUAGCAAAUACAAAGCCGUGAGAUCUGACUUCGGAUGAUCAAUCUAAAGAGAGAUCUCUUUGCAUUACGAUAUAAUAGAUCUCUUUUUUUAGCCCUGCGGCUCGCUGGCUUCUACCUUUUGUUCUCGUCGGUCACAUCCGGCAGGAAAUCAUCCCGCAAUUACUCCGCACUGGUUCUGUAUCAAACCUUGUAGGCUUCAUCUUCCUCAGACAAAAAUGAAUCAAUUUUCAUAAGACUAUAGGUAACAUUAUACGAAACAUUCAUCGUAUAACUCAAACCUAAAGCGGAGAAUCGUUUUCUACGACUAUCAGCCAUCUUAACACGGAUAACCCCGACAAACUUGGCCUAUCAAUCUCAACAAGCGCUCUUUAGCCCUCGGUCAAUUAUGCCUUCCAGUAAAAGCCUGAACCAAAAUUUGGCAUCCCUUUUAAGGACAAUCGUAAACUAACAUGACCUUAAUGUUAACACGAAAGCACCAUGGUCUAAUCCUUCACCUACAACGUCCUUGCCUAUCUGAGUGAACACAUCCUACAUGCCAGGCCAAAACAUUUGAGCAACCAUCGCUCCGUGACUUAACGGUUAGAUGACAAUCUGCGAUUUGUCUAAAAACGUCAUGUAUUAAGAAAAUAAUUAUUGUAUAACCCAUAGUCGGAAAUUAUAUGAUAAAUUCUUCCUUACAAAACUCAGUCCUAACAACCAAACGGUUAACGGAAAACUUAAACUUGUCGACAAUCAACCAAGUUCAAUACGUUUCACGAUUAACUUUAAAGCCCGCUAUGUUUUACCCAUAAAAUGCGGCAUAUAAGGAAAACUCGUAACAGAGCUCCUAGAGCUAUACGAAACAUCCUCAAAUAUGCACUAAGAAGGAAAACGCUUCUUCACAGGGACAAAUUUACGCGACCCCUCGGUUCUAAUUCCUCGAUCGCAAAUCAAAUUAUUAACAUCCAAACAUGAACAACAAUUUUGGCUACGAACAUCCGUAGACAAACCAAAAUGUUUCUUAAACGCAGGGUUAAGACUAAACCCUUGCAAUAUCGCAAAACAUCUUCAGGCCCGCGAACAUUUCAAGCACGAAAUGUGGCAUACGAAAUAAAAAUCUAUCUUCAGCAUUGCGAGACGUCGCAGACGCCUGAAGAACAAUUUUUUUCGACAAAAUUACCUUCCUCAAUAAAGACACCUUAUUGGAAGACCAAACUGUCAUACAUACUAACAACUUCUGAAACAUGUAUUUUUCGCGAAGACUCAAAAACGGUAAUAUCUACCGAUAAGUUUGUUGCUGAUCACAACAAACUCUUAACGUCCUAAACAGACGAAGCCAUCUCGUAGAGAUAUCUCUCGUACACCCGACACAAUGGUAAUACCGCUAUAUAAAAAAUCCGAAAUUCUGGUAAGCACUUUUGGGAGACUUAAAAAUUGUCUUCGAAGAUAUGCUCAAAUCCUACCAUACAAGUCACGUAAGCCGAGAAGAUAUCGCGGACUUUAAAGCGGAACGGAAUCAGGUCGAAAACGAUACGGGAAACGUAAGUCUAAGUAGUCAUCGCACCCCCUAAAGCCGUGAUUAGACCUAAGUCUUGUCCUAAACCCAACACACUGGUCUCUAACAUCUCUAGGCAUAGUAUCAAACACCAUGAUACAAGAUCCCAAAAUUUGUCUCUUGGCCAAUAUUCGAGCGUCUACAGAACUCCCGCAAGUUUACGCACUGCUAAAACUCUCGAAACAGAUCACAGAUAUAACAGUUCACACAGAGUUAGAUUACGAGAUGACAACUCGUAAUCUUCCCUCUACACCCAUAUAUAUGCUCGAUUACCUCUACACGACACAUAACUAGACCAUAAAGGUCUGACCGGAACACAGGUUGUAAGAAUCUCAACUCCAGGACGAACUACGAAACGCAUGAUCCCUUCGACAAGGGUACGUAUGCAGCCUUCACAAAGCGCAACCCUAAUCUUAUUGCACUCCACUUUUAGUAGAGUGAAAAGACCACUUCCAACCAUUAACUCCGCCUAACUUACCCGACAUGCCUAAUUCGGUCGCAAGAACACCACGAUUCUAACGAGCUGGGGGGCUAACUGUUGGGAUCAAAAUUGGUCACGAUGGAAUCAAUGUCAGAAAACUUCCCGGAAAAUGUCCUCUUUGAAAAAGAGAGAUAAAAUUCAAAAGAAAAGAGAAGUAGAAAAAACUAAAUCGAGUUUCGUAACAACUCCGAAAAGGAUUCACACGAUAAGCCUUCGAGAAAGGUUACUCAAGGCCUCAGACAAACAGAUCACGAACAGCAAAACAAUCAUCGUCCAACUCGUUGAAGGGGCGAGUUGGACCGAACGCACCGUCCAAUCGCCCGUUCGGUAAGUUGGACCAGCGAGUUGGAUCGAGCAAGCCGUCCAACUCGCCGAACAGACGUGUUCGUUCGAGCAAGUCGUCCAACUCGCCGAACGGGCGAGUUGGAUCGAACAAGUCGUCCAACUCUCCCGUUCGGCGAGCCAGAUCAACUAGCCUGCCUUCGUCCCCUCCUCGUAGCUCCCUCCUUUGGGAUUGGAUUAAACAUCCUCUUGUUUCGUCUUGAUCAGAGUCAUCGUUGGAACUUACGAUUUAAAAACCGUAAGAACUCGUUUUCUCGUAAGAAGUUUAAAUUGAUAGUAUAAAACGGCAACGGUUAACUAAACACCUUAAACCUCCUCCAAUAUACGGGAAAAUUUGAACUUACUUCGGAAUCGACGUCGUUUCGGAAGCGCUAUUUAGAUAAAUCGUAAAAACGCUUAAGUCGGGCAACAGCCCGAAAGGGUCCAGAACGCGGCUAAAACCCCACUCACGAUUUUAUACUAAAUCAAGCCCAAUCGUUAUGACAGUUUAUCUUUUAUUCUGCAGGGGAAGAUACAUGUCAAGUUCAGAGGAUAAAUGUGAAGUUUCCAAAGAUAAACAUGAAGAUCGAAGAAAAAUAGAAUAUUUCUGUGAAGCGAUUAACUCGACCGAGGCCAGAAAGGGAAAGAGAAAACGGCCUCUAGGAGGAGUAUAUAAGGACGUCGAGGUUGAAGAGGCACACCAACAAUUUUUUCCCUCUCAGAACUCUCUGCACUUAGAAACUUUUAGGCAUUAUUCUCGACAUGUUCUGUUUCUAUGACUGGCACUCGAUUACUAGACGAACUCGCCCAGGCAGUUCGAUCUCUUGUUCUACUCUUUCAAUCGAACUAAGUUCGGCUUGAUCCUCGAAAGGGGUAUGUAGGCAGCCUUUCAUAAGGUUCAGUUCGAAAUCAAAUUAAAACCUUUUUCGUAUCUUUUUUCAUCUUUUCUUAUCGACAUGCGACUCAACUAGGUAUAAAAUUUUAGGUUGCUAGAACUAUGUAACUCGCUGACAUCUCUUGUGGCCAAAGCUUUUAUCAUCUUUUGUAAUGAUCGCAACGCUCUUACGCGGAUUCGAAAUAAGAUCAACUUUUUCUAAACUCGUUUAUUUUUUUUACAUAUUUUUUACAUUUAUUUGGUCACUUGCAGUUGGCUCUCGCAGAAAGUUAGGGUUUUUUGACAUUUCUUAUUUUGAUCCCACAGUGCUUUGAUCCGUUCAGUGUGGGAACCUGAAGAGGACUCAUUGUAUUUUGUCUUCAGUUUGAUCGAUUUCUAUGUUUUUAUUGGCGGUGGUAACUCGUGAGUAGCAAAAAACGCUACCAAUCUUUCGCUACUUGCACGUGCAAUGACACCUUACUUAUCUAGCCAUUCAAGGAUACUCUUCAUCAAAGUUGCCAACUCGGCAUGAUCAUCAUGUGAUGCUGGUAGUGGCAUGCUAUCUUCUAGACAUGGGGCCGCCAUUUCCGUCCUCGUUGUUCUUCGUCAUUGCAAAUUGUACGAAGUAAAUAUUUCUUCUAUAUCAAUUCAAUAAGUUGAAAAUUCAAUAGUGGGUUUUGAAAGAUUUUUUAUUAACUGUAAGACUCGACGAGUACAUUAAAGUUGGCCUAAAUAUUAGGUCGUCGGUAGAUGAUCUUAAGUUACGAAAACGAUUAAAACUAACUUGCUACUGAAAAUGCUAGAUCUUUCACUUUUUGUAUUUGAUGUGAUGUAUAUAUCCUUUUUGUCAAAGUUAUGUGUAUAUCCAUUUUCAUUAAUUUAUAUGUUGCAUUUAUACUAGGGUAUGCUGGCAGAGUUUUUUUCUUUUACUAAUCAGAUUUUUUCCUUUUACUUCAGUUUCGGUGGCUGGUUGGUGCUUGGCUUGGGGUCUUCCAAUGGCAUUAUUACUAAGGAAUGCAGUCUCUUUUCAAUGGUUUCAUCGCCUCUCAUCGCAGUCACUGUAGGGUUUGUCUGGUCGCUUCAUGUACCGGUUCCUCGACCCUCAUCACCACCUCAUGCUUCCUUCAUCUUCCAACAACCCAGUAUCUCUAAGAUUUUCACUUAUUGACUGGUCUUGUGUUGAUUGUUUUGGAGUGUUCUCUUGGACUCUCUUGUGGUCUGUCUAUCCCUUAGUGCGACCAUUUACUACAGUAUGUUGUCUCUUUACAACGUUACGAAGUUAUACCUUUGUUCAAGUACUUUUGUGUUUUGUUGCGGCAGCUUGAUGAAGUUAUGCAAGACAUUUCAAAGUUUUGCUUAUCGAUAUUUUCUGUCUGUUUUCCUCCUCUAUGGAAUUUGUUCCUCUUCAUUCAUCACCUACUUUAAGUUGUUUUGUUUCAAGAAGUAAAACGUCUAAUAUUAGAGAUAUUUCAGUUAUUGAAGUUCUAAUCAAAGGCUUAUGAAAAUGGUGUUCAAUCGCCUAUAUGUGUGUAGCCAUUUCAAGGAUUGUUAAUUGUGCAUUUGCUGCUGUUUCAGUCUCAAGAAUUAUAUCAUUAAGUCUGAUCUUUAAUUCGCAAGACUUCCUUGCACUUUUUAGCUUGGUUGUUGAGACUAGAGGACCUCUCCACACAAUUAGUUGUUUAAUUGUUUUGUAUGCCUUUAUCAUUUUUUGCUUUACUGUAAUUGUUAUUUGUUUAGUGAGGAUGACUUUGUUAUCAUGUUAUUUAAACACUUUCUCCUUUAAUGGAGUAAGAAUCUACAAAACUGAGGUUUGUCCAAAAAAAAAAAGUAGCAUUGAUUUUAGAAAGAGAAAAAGACUAGGAUAGCACCAAACCAAGUUUUUGUUCCCAAAGUAGCACUCAAAGCUCAAAGUCACAAAAAUAUGUUUCAUUAAA